rnacentral:rRNA from 1 species
GAUGAACGCUAGCGGCAGGCCUAAUACAUGCAAGUCGGACGGGAUUCCGGAGCUUGCUUCUGAUGAGAGUGGCGCACGGGUGCGUAACACGUAUGUAACCUACCUUUAUCAGGGGGAUAGCCUCUCGAAAGAGAGAUUAAGCCCGCAUAAAAUCACAGCACAGCAUUGUGUAAUGAUCAAAUAUUUAUAGGUUAAAGAUGGGCAUGCGGAACAUUAGCUAGAUGGCGGGGUAACGGCCCACCAUGGCGACGAAGUUUAGGGGAUCUGAGAGGAUGGCCCCCCACAAUGGUACCGAGACACAGACCAGACUCCUACGGGAGGCAGCAGUAAGGAACAUUGGGCACUGAGCGCUAACCUGACCCAGCCAUGCCGGGUGCAGGAAGCCUGCCCUACGAGUAGUAAACUGCUUUUAAACAAGAAUAAUCCCAGAUACGGGUAUCUGGCUGAAUGUACUGUAAGAAUAAGGAUCGGCUAACUCCGUG